AAUACCCCCGUAUAAAUUGAACGGCAUCGUUUGAUUUUGAAAGCUCCGGCGGGUUUUGAGAUUGAGUAUGCGUCUGAUUAGCUAGUUGGUGAGGUAACGGCUCACCAAGGCGACGAUCAGUAGGGGACCUGAGAGGACUAACCCCCCACACUGGUACUGAGACACGGACCAGACUCCCUACGGGAGGCAGCAGUAAGGAAUAUUGGUCAAUGGAGGCAACUCUGAACCAGCCAUGCCGCGUGCAGGAUGACGGCCCUAUGGGUUGUAAACUGCUUUUAUACAAGAGAAAACCCUGGUACGUGUACCAAGUUGAUAGUAUUGUAAGAAUAAGCAUCGGCUAACUUCGUG
rnacentral:rRNA from 1 species